UUUUUUUUACUUGCCAGAUGUUCCAAGGUGACAGAUGACACAAAAAGGAAGUACACAGAAUACUUUGCAAUUUUGAGCCACUAACAAGUCCUUGGGAGGUCAGGUAUUGAGCAUGACUAUGGUAAUUCUAAACCAGUCCUGUGAGCCAUCAAAUCACAUCAAACUCAGCUCUACAGAAAAAGCCUAAAGGUAUGUGUGACAUUUUCAUUCUCUGCAGCUUAAAUCCUCAAACAUAUCAGCCUGUCAAAAAGAGAACAUUUGGGGAUUAUUUUCUAAUAGGCACACCUGCACCCACAGAAUUGAGAACAGAAGGAACAGUUUACUUUUUGAUUUCAGUCUAUUGAUUUAUUUUUUUUCCUCCUAUUUUCCUUCUUUGGCUCAUUAGACUGCUGGAUUUUUGGAGAGUUAGUUUACACAUAGCUAGGUGUUGUUUUUUUUUUGUUUGUUUUGUUUUUGUUUUUUAAGAUUAUAUGGCAGGGCAGUGAGUAUUUUUCCCCACCAAAAACAUGUCCAAAGCAUGAGAUCAGACAGCACAGCAUGUUCAUGCUAAGGCAUGACUCAGAAGGCUGUCUCUCCCAGCUGUUUAGCCACGGGAAAAGCACGUUCCUUCAGGGUAAAGCCUUCUGUGUUUGAGAAAAGUAAGGUCACUGGAUCAUUGGUGACCCACUGGUGUUAAAAGCAUGGUUUCAGCAUGUCAUUAGGAAUGUAUUCCCGUUCUUAACAGCAAAUUUCUGCUGACAAAGUAAUUAGAAUGGGAGUUAAUUCAACACUGGAGCCUAUCCCAAUGUAUUUGUAAUAUCAAAUCUGCACUUAGUAUUUUGUGGGCUUGAAGAUUAAAAACGUCCAGCAUGUACUUCUUUUGAUUUACAGUGUAUUUGGGAAAGCUUUAAAGACCAAAGAAACAAUGAGAUUAAAGCUACAGUAACAUGAAGUAGAGAGUGAGCAAAAAGAAAAAUAUAGACACAAGCACAGUUAAAAGACAAAAAAAGGAAGAAAAUCAAAUGAUUCAAAAGUCUGCUUAUCACAACAGUUUUGUUUGCUGUUUCUAAGCUCAUGUUUUUUUUCUUUCUGAAUGCUUCUUCCCUUUCUAUUCUCACCACUGUGACCCUUUAUGAUAUUCAGCAGAACCUACUGCACACACCUCGUGACUAAUAUGACUUAACUGGUAGAUAGAUUCCAAGCUGCUACCAGAAUCCAUCUGUAUGCCAAAGACUCAAGCAUAAGGGUUUUAUACUGCUUUUGGAGAACUGGAUGUCUGUGAGAGGAGAGGCAAUGUACCUUUCCAGCGGUAUCAUUUUGUACCAGUUAAUGCAUAAAAUGACCAUAUGUUGUGUCUUACUGAAUCAAGGUAACUUGGAAUGCGUGUGCAGCAAUCAUAAUUUUGUACUAUACAGGUACAAUAUAGAUAAAUACAGGUAUAAUAUAGAUGAAAAUGCUACCUACUUACAUUCAGGCAUGAAUUGCAGGUAUGCCACGUUGAAUUCAAUUGUGAGGGACAAGACAGGCAUUCAUAAGUUUCAGAGAUUUCAAUGCCUUAUCUACUUCUCCUGAGAACAAAGAAAGUACUAGAGCAGAAUUUUAAGUUUCUCAAAUUUUGUGGCAUCAAAAUGAGGUCUGUGCUACUAAUCCUUUCAAAACCAUCUUCUAACUCCAUUCUGUCAACUCUGGUUUCAAACUCACUGAAGAUUUUAAGUAUGAAGAUAGUAAUUCAGACGCAUCCCAUGAAAACAUGAAUAAAAUAGGUUUGAUCCAGUAAUGUUGCUCUUUUGGUAUCUAAUCAAUACAGUUUGACUGAAACCUGUAGUGACUCAGAUUUCCCUGACGUAAGUAAGCAAGGUCAUUACUGUAAUUAUUCAUGAUUAUGUCAUUUUAAUGAUGCCUUCUUAUCCUUAGAAUAACUUCCCUGCACUGGUUUGAUUGGCAUUGACUUCUCACUGAUUGGAGGUUUUCUUAGAAACAUCUGUAUUGUAGGUGCACACAAAAAAAGCUCCACACUACGGACUCUUCCAACUUGUUUAUUUUCUCCCAUCUUUUCACAGCAAUGUAGAUUUUCUUAAGGAGAAUAAUAACACUAAAACAUUUGACUAGAUUUAAAUGGAUCAUCAUAGCAAUUGUGUGCCUCAGCUGAACAACUGAACUUACCUUCUUGUCUUUUUUUAUUUAUUUAGUGUACCUACACAUCUGUUGCUUUUGAGGUAGAAUUACCACCAACAUCGAUAUUCUCAUGUCCUUUCUUAAGCCUCAGAAGGUCAACAUUUCACUUAAAUUUGAAAUUUAAUACUGCAAGCGUUUUUAAUUUAUGAGUUAGUUUACUCACAGAAGUAUUCCCAUCGAGUUCAGAAGAACUAAACUGUAUCAUCUGAAUUUAUCCCCAAGCAUGAGCAUUUGCACAUAGUAUGCCCGAGAUUGUAUGCUAUUUCUGAACAUGGUUAUGAUUUCUGUGAAGUGUCUAAUGCAUUGUUAGAGACUAUGCACUAAUCCAGUAAUAACAGUCAUCAUAACACAUGGAGAUUUAAGGAGUAUCAACUGGGGAAAAAUGGGAUGGAUAUUUAGUUUCUUCAUCUCUGAGCAAAUGCAGCUCACCUGCAGUUUGAAAAAUUGUAUGUGCAUCUGCUUAUUACUUAAAUUAUCUUCUCCUCAGAAACGAAGUUAAAUCAAGAAAACUCAAAAAAUGCCAAGAGCUCGUGAAAUCCACCAAGCUUUCAAUUUUAUAUUUGCACAGUUUUUUCCCUAUCCAUUUUUAAGUAGAUGAACCAUGAUAAAUACUUAUUGAAGCU
ensembl:lncRNA